CCUCAAAUCAGGUAGGACUACCCGCUGAACUUAAGCAUAUCAAUAAGCGGAGGAAAAGAAACUAACAAGGAUUCCCCUAGUAACGGCGAGUGAAGCGGGAUGAGCUCAAAUUUAAAAUCUUGCAGCCUCAGGUUGUACGAGUUGUAGUCUAGAGAAUCGUUUUCCGCGUUGGCCUGUGUACAAGUCCCUUGGAACAGGGCGUCAUAGAGGGUGAGAAUCCCGUCCUUGACACAGACUACCAAUGCUUUGUGAUGCGAUCUCGAAGAGUCGAGUUGUUUGGGAAUGCAGCUCAAAAUGGGUGGUAAAUUCCAUCUAAAGCUAAAUAUUGGCGAGAGACCGAUAGCGAACAAGUACCGUGAGGGAAAGAUGAAAAGCACUUUGGAAAGAGAGUUAAACAGUACGUGAAAUUGUUAAAAGGGAAACGAUUGAAGUCAGUCAUGCUUUCCGAGACUCAGCCGAUUCUGUCGGUGUACUUCUCGGUUUGCAGGCCAGCAUCAGUUUCGAUCUGUGGAAAAGGUUGGAGGGAACGUGGCAUCCUCGGAUGUGUUAUAGCCCUUCUUCGAAUACAUAGAGCGGGACUGAGGAACGCAGCGCGCCUUUUAUUAGGUUGGCCCUCGGGUACAUACGCGCUUAGGAUG
rnacentral:rRNA from 1 species